rnacentral:rRNA from 1 species
CAUGCCAAUGGCACUGCCCGGUAGCUAAAUGCGGAAGAGAUAAGUGCUGAAAGCAUCUAAGCACGAAACUUGCCCCGAGAUGAGUUCUCCCUGAGACUUUAGGUCUCCUGAAGGAACGUUGAAGACGACGACGUUGAUAGGCCGGGUGUGUAAGCGCAGCGAUGCGUUGAGCUAACCGGUACUAAUGAACCGUGAGGCUUA